rnacentral:rRNA from 1 species
GCAUGUUCACAUGAUUAAAGGUAUUCCGGUAGACGAUGGGGAUGCGUUCCAUUAGAUAGUAGGCGGGGUAACGGCCCACCUAGUCUUCGAUGGAUAGGGGUUCUGAGAGGAAGGUCCCCCACAUUGGAACUGAGACACGGUCCAAACUCCUACGGGAGGCAGCAGUGAGGAGUAUUGGUCAAUGGGCGAGAGCCUGAACCAGCCAAGUAGCGUGAAGGAUGACUGCCCUAUGGGUUGUAAACUUCUUUUAUAAAGGAAUAAAGUCGGGUAUGCAUACCUGUUUGCAUGUACUUUAUGAAUAAGGAUCGGCUAACUCCGUGCCAGCAGCCGCGGUAAUACGGAGGAUCCGAGCGUUAUCCGGAUUUAUUGGGUUUAAAGGGAGCGUAGAUGGAUGUUUAAGUCAGUUGUGAAAGUUUGCGGCUCAACCGUAAAAUUGCAGUUGAUACUGGAUAUCUUGAGUGCAGUUGAGGCAGGCGGAAUUCGUGGUGUAGCGGUGAAAUGCUUAGAUAUCACGAAGAACUCCGAUUGCGAAGGCAGCCUGCUAAGCUGCAACUGACAUUGAGGCUCGAAAGUGUGGGUAUCAAACAGGAUUAGAUACCCUGGUAGUCCACACGGUAAACGAUGAAUACUCGCUGUUUGCGAUAUACAGCAAGCGGCC